CUCUUCUCUGCGUCAUUGCGUCAUUUCCGACGCAGGCGCAAAAUACCAUUUUCUGUCGCGUGUGCGGCCUCUCUUCCUCCACCGCCAUCAUGGGUCGCAUGCACGCUCCCGGAAAGGGCUUGUCCCAGUCAGCUCUGCCUUACAGGCGCAGUGUUCCCACUUGGCUGAAGCUCACAUCUGAUGAUGUCAAAGAGCAGAUCUUCAAGCUGGC